rnacentral:rRNA from 1 species
UAAGGUGGCUAUAGCAACGGGGUUCCACCUCUUCCCAUACCGAACAGAGAAGUUAAGCCCGUUAGCGCCGAUGGUACUGCGUAAAAGUGGGAGAGUAGGUCGCCGCCUACU